GGCCGUGUGGCUCAGUGGAUGGAGCGUCGGCCUGGGGACCAGAGGGUCCCGGUUCGAUUCCGGUCACGGGCA
rnacentral:tRNA from 1 species